GGUCAAGUGAAGAAGCGCAUACGGUGGAUGCCUUGGCAGUCAGAGGCGAUGAAAGACGUGGUAGCCUGCGAAAAGCUUCGGGGAGUCGGCAAACAGACUUUGAUCCGGAGAUGUCUGAAUGGGGGAACCCAGCCAUCAUAAGAUGGUUAUCUUGUACUGAAUACAUAGGUGCAAGAGGCGAACCAGGGGAACUGAAACAUCUAAGUACCCUGAGGAAAAGAAAUCAACCGAGAUUCCCUUAGUAGUGGCGAGCGAACGGGGACUAGCCCUUAAGUGGCUUUGAGAUUAGCGGAACGCUCUGGAAAGUGCGGCCAUAGUGGGUGAUAGCCCUGUACGCGAAAAUCUCUUAGUCAUGAAAUCGAGUAGGACGGAGCACGAGAAACUUUGUCUGAAUAUGGGGGGACCAUCCUCCAAGGCUAAAUACUACUGACUGACCGAUAGUGAACUAGUACCGUGAGGGAAAGGCGAAAAGAACCCCGGAGAGGGGAGUGAAAUAGAUCCUGAAACCGUAUGCGUACAAGCAGUGGGAGCCCACUUUGUUGGGUGACUGCGUACCUUUUGUAUAAUGGGUCAGCGACUUAUUUUCAGUGGCGAGCUUAACCGAAUAGGGGAGGCGUAGCGAAAGCGAGUCUUAAUAGGGCGUCUAGUCGCUGGGAAUAGACCCGAAACCGGGCGAUCUAUCCAUGGGCAGGUUGAAGGUUGGGUAACACUAACUGGAGGACCGAACCGACUACCGUUGAAAAGUUAGCGGAUGACCUGUGGAUCGGAGUGAAAGGCUAAUCAAGCUCGGAGAUAGCUGGUUCUCCUCGAAAGCUAUUUAGGUAGCGCCUCAUGUAUCACUGUAGGGGGUAGAGCACUGUUUCGGCUAGGGGGUCAUCCCGACUUACCAAACCGAUGCAAACUCCGAAUACCUACAAGUGCCGAGCAUGGGAGACACACGGCGGGUGCUAACGUCCGUCGUGAAAAGGGAAACAACCCAGACCGUCAGCUAAGGUCCCAAAGUUAUGGUUAAGUGGGAAACGAUGUGGGAAGGCUUAGACAGCUAGGAGGUUGGCUUAGAAGCAGCCACCCUUUAAAGAAAGCGUAAUAGCUCACUAGUCGAGUCGGCCUGCGCGGAAGAUGUAACGGGGCUCAAACCAUACACCGAAGCUACGGGUAUCACGUAAGUGAUGCGGUAGAGGAGCGUUCUGUAAGCCUGUGAAGGUGAGUUGAGAAGCUUGCUGGAGGUAUCAGAAGUGCGAAUGCUGACAUGAGUAACGACAAUGGGUGUGAAAAACACCCACGCCGAAAGACCAAGGUUUCCUGCGCAACGUUAAUCGACGCAGGGUUAGUCGGUCCCUAAGGCGAGGCUGAAAAGCGUAGUCGAUGGAAAACAGGUUAAUAUUCCUGUACUUCUGGUUAUUGCGAUGGAGGGACGGAGAAGGCUAGGCCAGCUUGGCGUUGGUUGUCCAAGUUUAAGGUGGUAGGCUGAGAUCUUAGGUAAAUCCGGGAUCUUAAGGCCGAGAGCUGAUGACGAGUCAUCUUUUAGAUGACGAAGUGGUUGAUGCCAUGCUUCCAAGAAAAGCUUCUAAGCUUCAGGUAACCAGGAACCGUACCCCAAACCGACACAGGUGGUUGGGUAGAGAAUACCAAGGCGCUUGAGAGAACUCGGGUGAAGGAACUAGGCAAAAUGGCACCGUAACUUCGGGAGAAGGUGCGCCGGUGAGGGUGAAGGACUUGCUCCGUAAGCUCAUGCCGGUCGAAGAUACCAGGCCGCUGCGACUGUUUAUUAAAAACACAGCACUCUGCAAACACGAAAGUGGACGUAUAGGGUGUGACGCCUGCCCGGUGCCGGAAGGUUAAUUGAUGGGGUUAGCUAACGCGAAGCUCUUGAUCGAAGCCCCGGUAAACGGCGGCCGUAACUAUAACGGUCCUAAGGUAGCGAAAUUCCUUGUCGGGUAAGUUCCGACCUGCACGAAUGGCGUAACGAUGGCGGCGCUGUCUCCACCCGAGACUCAGUGAAAUUGAAAUCGCUGUGAAGAUGCAGUGUAUCCGCGGCUAGACGGAAAGACCCCGUGAACCUUUACUAUAGCUUUGCACUGGACUUUGAAUUUGCUUGUGUAGGAUAGGUGGGAGGCUUUGAAGCGUGGACGCCAGUCUGCGUGGAGCCAUCCUUGAAAUACCACCCUGGCAACUUUGAGGUUCUAACUCAGGUCCGUUAUCCGGAUCGAGGACAGUGUAUGGUGGGUAGUUUGACUGGGGCGGUCUCCUCCUAAAGAGUAACGGAGGAGUACGAAGGUGCGCUCAGACCGGUCGGAAAUCGGUCGUAGAGUAUAAAGGCAAAAGCGCGCUUGACUGCGAGACAGACACGUCGAGCAGGUACGAAAGUAGGUCUUAGUGAUCCGGUGGUUCUGUAUGGAAGGGCCAUCGCUCAACGGAUAAAAGGUACUCCGGGGAUAACAGGCUGAUACCGCCCAAGAGUUCAUAUCGACGGCGGUGUUUGGCACCUCGAUGUCGGCUCAUCACAUCCUGGGGCUGAAGCCGGUCCCAAGGGUAUGGCUGUUCGCCAUUUAAAGUGGUACGCGAGCUGGGUUUAGAACGUCGUGAGACAGUUCGGUCCCUAUCUGCCGUGGACGUUUGAGAUUUGAGAGGGGCUGCUCCUACGACGAGAGGACCGGAGUGGACGAACCUCUGGUGUUCCGGUUGUCACGCCAGUGGCAUUGCCGGGUAGCUAUGUUCGGAAUAGAUAACCGCUGAAAGCAUCUAAGCGGGAAACUAGCCUCAAGAUGAGAUCUCACUGGAACCUUGAGUUCCCUGAAGGGCCGUCGAAGACUACGACGUUGAUAGGUUGGGUGUGUAAGCGCUGUGAGGCGUUGAGCUAACCAAUACUAAUUGCCCGUGAGGCUUGACCAU
rnacentral:rRNA from 1 species